rnacentral:rRNA from 1 species
UACGAAGGGGGCUAGCGUUGUUUCGGAAUCACUGGGCGUAAAGCGCACGUAGGCGGCUUUGUAAGUCGGAUGUGAAAGCCCUUGGCUUAACCGAGGAAGUGCAUCCGAAACUGGCGAGCUAGAGUACGAAAGAGGAUCGCGGAAUUCCCGGUGUAGAGGUGAAAUUCGUAGAUAUCGGGAGGAACACCGGUGCGAAGGCGGCGAUCUGGGGUCGAUACUGACGCUGAGGUGCGAAAAGCGUGGGGAGCAAACAGGGA